AAUGAACGCUGGCGGCAGGCCUAACACAUGCAAGUCGAACGGAUCCUUCGGGAUUAGUGGCGGACGGGUGAGUAACGCGUGGGAACAUACCCAAAGGUACGGAAUAGCCUCGGGAAACUGGGAGUAAUACCGUAUGAGCUCGAAAGAGGAAAGAUUUAUCGCCUUUGGAUUGGCCCGCGUUGGAUUAGGUAGUUGGUGGGGUAAUGGUCUACCAAGCCGACGAUCCAUAGCUGGUUUGAGAGGAUGAUCAGCCACACUGGGACUGAGACACGGCCCAGACUCCUACGGGAGGCAGCAGUGGGGAAUCUUAGACAAUGGGGGAAACCCUGAUCUAGCCAUGCCGCGUGAUCGAUGAAGGCCUUAGGGUUGUAAAGAUCUUUCAGGUGGGAAGAUAAUGACUGUACCACCAGAAGAAGCCCCGGCUAACUCCGUGCCAGCCGCCGCCCGUAA
rnacentral:rRNA from 1 species